rnacentral:rRNA from 1 species
CCAUACGGCCCUGAACGUACCCGAUCUUGGAAGCUAAGCAGGGUCAGGCCUGGGUAGUAUGUGGAUGGGAGACCACGGCUGCCCUGGAUG